CUACAUGCCUGGCAGGGGUGAUACCAUGAUCAAGAAGGUGGUACAUCCAAGGCGAGGCUCAGCCAUUGCACUCCAGAUGUGCUGACCCUAGAGUUUCCCCAGAAGGUAGGAAUAUUGACUGCACAUAUUCAGAUACUAGGAGACUGCAUUCACGCUCUCCGC
ensembl:snRNA U1 U1 spliceosomal RNA